UACGUAGGGUCCGAGCGUUGUCCGGAAUUACUGGGCGUAAAGAGCUCGUAGGUGGUUUGUCGCGUUGUUCGUGAAAACUCACAGCUCAACUGUGGGCGUGCGGGCGAUACGGGCAGACUGGAGUACUGCAGGGGAGACUGGAAUUCCUGGUGUAGCGGUGAAAUGCGCAGAUAUCAGGAGGAACACCGGUGGCGAAGGCGAGUCUCUGGGCCGAUACUGACGCUGAGGAGCGAAAGCGUGGGGAGCGAACAGG
rnacentral:rRNA from 1 species